AGCCUCCACGUUUCACCACACGCUGCGUUGCAACAGAUUCUAGUCAAAAUCAUUAAAUCAUUUAAACAACUACCAUACAUAGAGAUAGCCACUGAAAUGACAAGUACUUAUAAAUGUGUUCAUCCCAUCGAUGCAGAGCAGUCGCCAGUUCUUUUAUUGGUCAAAGAUGCAAUAUACCAAUGUAUAUGAUAUUCAGUUCAUGCAGGAUUGGACAGACUGAAAAUCUAUCAGUCAAACAAAUAUAUCUUGCUUAUGUAUGCUUAGUAAGAACUUUAAUCAAACGAGACACUUCACACUCACAGUUCGUUUAACCAAAAAAUAGCAGAAAUUUAUUAGUAAACAAAGCUAUGAAGACAACUCCGAGUAUAAAUUGUGCAAAGAACUCUUAAGAAACCAGAAAUUGAAUGCAAAGAUGAAGAGAUCGUGCAACACAAUUUCAAGCUUGCGACAUUUUUUCUUUUUAGUUCUCGCAUUUGCUGACAGUAGCAAUACGCAGAGAGCAUAACUAUGGCGAUGAGUCAAGCAUUAUUAGCUUUCAGAAUGGGCUCAUGUCAUCAGUGUCGUGAGUUCAUUCUGAAAGCUAGCUAUUUUGACACAUCAAAGAUUUUGCAGCGCAGUGUGUGUUCCCAGUGAAUAGUUAUGCUGAAGAUAUGUCUUUGCGGAAAUGGGCUGGAUAUGAGUGUAUACAUGUUGAUGCUGUUUAAGGAUUUAUGUUCACACUUAUAGCACAUCUAUAGCAAAAACAAUAAACAAAGAGGCAAAAGUAGAGUUACAGACAGGGCCAAAAGGCAAAAAGAAGGACUAAAAAUCAUUACCUUUGCACAGUGAUUGCUCAGCUU